rnacentral:rRNA from 1 species
GACGAACGCUGGCGGCGUGCUUAACACAUGCAAGUCGAACGCUGAAGCCCAGCUUGCUGGGUGGAUGAGUGGCGAACGGGUGAGUAACACGUGAGUAACCUGCCCCCUUCUUUGGGAUAACGCCCGGAAACGGGUGCUAAUACUGGAUAUUCACUGGCCUUCGCAUGGGGGUUGGUGGAAAGGUUUUUUCUGGUGGGGGAUGGGCUCGCGGCCUAUCAGCUUGUUGGUGGGGUGAUGGCCUACCAAGGCUUUGACGGGUAGCCGGCCUGAGAGGGUGACCGGUCACAUUGGGACUGAGAUACGGCCCAGACUCCUACGGGAGGCAGCAGUGGGGAAUAUUGCACAAUGGGCGAAAGCCUGAUGCAGCGACGCCGCGUGAGGGAUGACGGCCUUCGGGUUGUAAACCUCUUUCGCUCAUGGUCAAGCCGCAGCUUUGGGUUGUGGUGAGGGUAGUGGGUAAAGAAGCGCCGGCUAACUACGUGCCAGCAGCCGCGGUAAUACGUAGGGCGCGAGCGUUGUCCGGAAUUAUUGGGCGUAAAGGGCUUGUAGGCGGUUGGUCGCGUCUGCCAUGAAAUCCUCUGGCUUAACUGGGGGCGUGCGGUGGAUACGGGCUGACUUUUACUCGGUAGGGGGAGACUGGAACUCCUGGUGGAGCUUUGAAAUGCACCAUAUCACGAGACACCCGUGGUGAAUGGGUCUCUGGGCCGGUCUGACGCUGAGGAGGGAACCCUGGAGCGACAGGAUUAAAAUACUGUAUUCAGGGGAAUCUGGGGGGGGGCGGGCAACGCACCCUCAACUACGGGGGGGUCGGUGGUGCCCCCCCUCCCUCCGCCGGGGAACCCUGGCGGUCCAAUAUUAUUCCCUGAUUAUUUCCCCUUUCGAGUGGGGGAAAAACAAAAAGCCCCCCCCAUUAAUUUGUUCUAGAUUAUCUAAAAGGCUUCCCCUCAUUCUCUUCAUAUUAAAAGGACUCUAUCCACCCAGUCAUAUUAGCACU